AGAAUGAACGCUGGCGGCGUGCUUAACACAUGCAAGUCGAGCGAGGCCAGGGGGGCAACUCCCUGAGUCGAGCGGCGGACGGGUGAGUAACACGUGGGUAACCUACCCGGAAGUGGGGAAUACCUCGGGGAAACUCGAGCUAAUACCGCAUAACAUCUCGAGGACGAAAGUUCUUGUGAUCAAAGCGGGGCCGCAAGGCCUCGUGCUACCGGAUGGGCCCGCGCCCGAUUAGCUAGUUGGCGAGGUAAUGGCUCACCAAGGCGACGAUCGGUAACCGGCCUGAGAGGGCGAUCGGUCACACCGGAACUGAGACACGGUCCGGACUCCUACGGGAGGCAGCAGUGGGGAAUCUUGCGCAAUGGGCGAAAGCCUGACGCAGCAACGCCGCGUGGAGGAUGAAGGCCCUUGGGUUGUAAACUCCUAGUCGGCUGGGAAGAACUCGUUCGCGACUAAUACUCGCGACGUUGACUGUACCAGCAAAGGAGCCCGCUAACUCUGUGCCAGCAGCCG
rnacentral:rRNA from 1 species